GGAGAGAUGGCAGAGUGGUCGAAUGCGGUGGUCUUGAAAACCAUUGUGCGGCAACGUACCGGGGGUUCGAAUCCCUCUCUCUCCG
rnacentral:tRNA from 5 species